rnacentral:rRNA from 1 species
CCUACGGGAGGCAGCAGUAAGGAAUAUUGGUCAAUGGAGGCAACUCUGAACCAGCCAUGCCGCGUGCAGGAAGACAGCCCUCUGGGUCGUAAACUGCUUUUAUUCGGGAAUAAACCUUAUUACGUGUAAUAAGCUGAAUGUACCGAAGGAAUAAGGAUCGGCUAACUCCGUGCCAGCAGCCGCGGUAAUACGGAGGAUCCAAGCGUUAUCCGGAUUUAUUGGGUUUAAAGGGUGCGUAGGCGGCUUAUUAAGUCAGGGGUGAAAGACGGUGGCUCAACCAUCGCAGUGCCUUUGAUACUGAUGAGCUUGAAUGAACUAGAGGUAGGCGGAAUGUGACAAGUAGCGGUGAAAUGCAUAGAUAUGACACAGAACACCGAUUGCGAAGGCAGCUUACUAUGGUUUUAUUGACGCUGAGGCACGAAAGCGUGGGGAUCAAACAGGAUUAGAUACCCUGGUAGUCCACGCCCUAAACGAUGAAUACUCGCUGUUAGCGAUAUACAGUUAGCGGCUAAGCGAAAGCGUUAAGUAUUCCACCUGGGGAGUACGCCCGCAAGGGUGAAACUCAAAGGAAUUGACGG